UUUGCUCUUCAUUUCAACAUGUCUUUUCCUCUUACUCUUUGUGAUUUUCACUUGAUCCUUUUGAGUUUUGAUUCCAAAGUUCUUAAGAGACAGAGAUCCUAUUGGCUGGUGCAAGACCAUAGCAGUUGUGUGUGUGUGUGUGUGUGUGUGAGAGAGAGAGAGAGAGGGAGAGGGAGAGGGAGAGGGAGAGGGAGAGGGAGAGGGAGAGCGCUGAGUCACUGUCUCCCAUUUCUGGCUUUGCUUCUCACAUCCACAACCCAUGUGCUCUACUUCCAUUUUUUCCUCUCAUUCCUGUUCCAAGCACAUCUGAAGGUCAAAAGGAGCAUCUCGGAAUCCUCAAGAAACAAGAAGAAAACACACUUGGAUUUUCAAAUAUCUCGAUAUUUUAACUGUGUUUUUUAAAAAAGGAUAAACAGCUCUUUUAAUCAGAAAAAGUUCAGGCAUUAUAGUAUAAAUGAAAGAAUCUCAGUCAAAAAAGCUCAACAUUUGACUAUCUGGACAGCAAUAGAGCAUGCACUCAAAGUGAAAAGAAAAUGACAUGAUGCUUAAACAAUGUUUUAAAGUCCCCCCUGCCACCCAUUUUAGGGGGAGGGGGCAUGGGGAGGAGCUUGGAUGAUGAAAGUAAGAGCAUCCCAAGGGUGGAUGAAGACAUUAAAAGUGAGCAAUAUCCAGUUGCUUCCAGCUGGCUGGCCUGUUUUAACCCAGGGGAAAAAAAAUGGCAUUGGUAACUAGUUUUGUUUCUCUUUACCAUCGGAAAAAUAUUCAGAGAAAAACACUUCUUAUUCAUUUGGCAAAUAUUUACUGAGCUCCAAUCAUGUGCUAGGUACUAUUCUAAAUGAUAAUUAAACAGCUGUGAACCUGCCUGGCCCCUAUAGUUUUGAGGAUACUAAGUACAGGUCACUUUGGCCAUCAAAUUCAAUGUCAUUUUCAGUUCCACAGAAGUCCCUUAAAUGCUGAGCUACAGAGGUGGAUUCUUAGUAAAACCAAAGAAUUUUAAGCUUCAUAGUUGCUUACUUUUAUGGGCCUUUCCUGUGCAUCCUCCUCAAGAAUUUAGUACUCAUUUCAAUACAUGGGCCAUGGCUCAUGAAUUAUGAAUUAUAGGUGAGCUCAAUGGGUUGCCAGUAACCCUUUCAUUUUGGCUGGCCCCCAGUGACAUUCUACAUUGUGUGGGGGCUUCCCCAGGUAUCCCAAACCCAACUCUGGCAUCAAGAAGAUUCUUUUUUUUUCCUUUUAACGAUUUUUAUUUUUCUAUUAUAGUUGGUUUAGAGUGUUCUGUCAAUUUUCUGCUGAACAGCAAAGUGACCCAGUCACACAUGCAUAUAUAUACAUUCUUUUUUUCUCACAUUAUCCUCCACAGUGCUCCAGCAUAAGUGACUAGAUAUACUUCCCAAUGCUAUACAGC
rnacentral:lncRNA from 1 species